GGAUGCCGCGGAAACGCUCGAACGGAACACUGCCGCACACGACUGCCGCCCGCCAAACCUGCUCUGCAAGCAGGAGGUCGCCGGUUCGAGACCGGCUGGCUCCA
rnacentral:tRNA from 1 species